CAAGUACUCCCUCCGUCCCAAAAUUAUUGUCUUGGAUUUUUUUAGAUAUGGAUGUAUCUAGUCACGUUUUAGUAUCUAAAUGCAUUCAUAUCUAGAAAAAUCCAAGACAAGAAUUUUGGGACGGAGGGAGUACAUU
rnacentral:pre_miRNA from 1 species